rnacentral:rRNA from 1 species
GAUGAACGCUGGCGGCGUGCCUAAUACAUGCAAGUCGAGCGAACAGACGAGGAGCUUGCUCCUCUGACGUUAGCGGCGGACGGGUGAGUAACACGUGGAUAACCUACCUAUAAGACUGGGAUAACUUCGGGAAACCGGAGCUAAUACCGGAUAAUAUAUUGAACCGCAUGGUUCAAUAGUGAAAGACGGUUUUGCUGUCACUUAUAGAUGGAUCCGCGCCGCAUUAGCUGGUUGGUAAGGUAACGGCUUAACAAGGCAACGAUGGUUAGCCGACCUGAGAGGGUGAUCGGACACACUGGCACUGAGACACGGUCCAGACUCCUACGGGAGGACGCAGUAGGGAAUCUUCCGCAAUGGGCGAAAGCGUGACGGAGCAACGCCGCGUGAGUGAUGAAGGUCUUCGGAUCGUAAAACUCUGUUAUUAGGGAAGAACAAAUGUGUAAGUAACUAUGCACGUCUUGACGGUACCUAAUCAGAAAGCCCCGGCUAACUACGUG